rnacentral:tRNA from 1 species
GGGCUAUAGCUCAGUGGUAGAGCAUCUGCCUUGCAUGUAGAAGGUCCCAGGUUCAAAUUCCCAGCAUCUCCA